CCUACGGGAGGCAGCAGUGAGGAAUAUUGGUCAAUGGUCGCGAGCCUGAACCAGCCAAGUCGCGUGCAGGAAGACGGUCCUAUGGGUUGUAAACUGCUUUUGUCGGGGGACAAAAUGCGCCACGCGUGGUGUUCCGUAGGUACCCCAUGAAAAAGCAUCGGCUAACUCCGUGCCAGCAGCCGCGGUAAUACGGAGGGUGCGGGCGUUAUCCGGAUUUAUUGGGUUAAAAGGGAGCGUAGGCGGAAGAUCAAGGGAGCGUUAAAAGUCCGGGGCCAAACCUGUGCGCGCCGUUGAAACUGGUUUGCUUGAGUGAGCGAGAAGUAUGCGGAAUGCGUGGUGUAGCGGUGAAAUGCAUAGAUAUCACGCAGAACUCCGAUUGCGAAGGCAGCAUACCGGAGCGCAACUGACGCUCAUGCACGAAAGUGUGGGUAUCGAACAGGAUUAGAUACCCUUGUAGUC
rnacentral:rRNA from 1 species